AGUGAACGCUGGCGGUAGGCCUAACACAUGCAAGUCGAACGGCAGCACAGUAAGAGCUUGCUCUUACGGGUGGCGAGUGGCGGACGGGUGAGGAAUACAUCGGAAUCUACUUUUUCGUGGGGGAUAACGUAGGGAAACUUACGCUAAUACCGCAUACGACCUACGGGUGAAAGCAGGGGAUCUUCGGCCUUGCGCGGUUGAAUGAGCCGAUGUCGGAUUAGCUAGUUGGCGGGGUAAAGGCCCACCAAGGCGACGAUCCGUAGCUGGUCUGAGAGGAUGAUCAGCCACACUGGAACUGAGACACGGUCCAGACUCCUACGGGAGGCAGCAGUGGGGAAUAUUGGACAAUGGGCGCAAGCCUGAUCCAGCCAUACCGCGUGGGUGAAGAAGGCCUUCGGGUUGUAAAGCCCUUUUGUUGGGAAAGAAAAGCAGCAGGUUAAUACCCCGCUGUUCUGACGGUACCCAAAGAAUAAGCACCGGCUAACUUCGUG
rnacentral:rRNA from 1 species